rnacentral:rRNA from 1 species
AUACGUAGGGGGCGAGCGUUGUCCGGAAUCACUGGGCGUAAAGGGUGCGUAGGCGGUAAGUUAAGUCAGAUGUGAAAGUCCAGGGCUCAACCCUGGAAUUGCAUUUGAAACUGACAUACUUGAGUGCAGGAGAGGAGAGCGGAAUUCCUAGUGUAGCGGUGAAAUGCGUAGAUAUUAGGAAGAACACCAGUGGCGAAGGCGGCUCUCUGGACUGUAACUGACGCUGAGGCACGAAAGCGUGGGUAGCGAACAGGAUUAGAUACCCUGGUAGUCCACGCCGUAAACGAUGAGUGCUAGGUGUCGGGGGUCGAACCUCGGUGCCGGAGUUAACACAUUAAGCACUCCGCCUGGGGAGUACGGUCGCAAGACUUAA